rnacentral:lncRNA from 1 species
UGGGACUGCACCCCAGAAGGCCUUGAGAGCAAUGGGUAGCAAUGAAGGAUUUGGAGCAAGGACCCCACAGGACUGAGGGAACCCAUCAGAAAUAAUGGUUAGAAGACAAUCACGUAGAAAGAGAACGAUGGUAGCAAGAUAGUAUAAUUUGAAUCCGGAUCACAUACCUACAUUAGAAAGUCCUCCUCUCUGAGUAAUUUUCUCUAUGGCUGUCUUCAGAUCUCGAGAAUUCGUGUGUGUCUUGAGGUUAAAGUGAGUAGCAGGGUUGUCUCUGAAGAGUCAGAACAAGAAAUACAAAUUAGCUGCAAAGUUAAUACCUUUGGAGGAAGGCAGAGAUCAUGGUUGAUUCUUUUAUAUACAAAUAGAAGCUGCUUCAAAGCCUUCUGCUAUGCCUUGUAAAAUGUCCCAUUGUGGACUGGUGUGUGUAGAGAAAAGGAGGCUAUUUCAAGGCUCAGAAGGCGUGUGUUGACUGUGCCAUUUCCUGGCUGUGUGAUCUUGAGGAGACAACUUCUCUGGGCUUCAGAUUCCUCAUGUAGAUGAAAACAUCGUUAUAACACCCAUAUUGCUAAUGAACGGGACUGUUGUCAAGUGGGAUUUUGCAAAUGUCAGGAUCCCAUCUGUGGAGUGCUCAGCGUUCUCAGCCUACCCCAGACCCCCCUCUCCAGAAAGAGAAUCUCAGCUGUCAGCCACUCUCUGGGUUACCCUUAGCACUGGAAUUGCACGUGAAUAGUGGUACCAAGGAGACCUCUCUCUGCUUCUCAUCCUGCAACCGGGUGACACUACUCAAACUCAUCUAGAAGGUCAACAUCUAUUUUGCUGAAGACUGAAAAAGAUUAACUGGGGAGGAGUUGGAGUGAAUUCAGUGGAAAAACACAGUAAGAAUCCCUCUCUACAAGUGAAUCCCCACGAAGCGGCGGAGUGGAGGGUGUGGAGGCGUGCAGGAGGGCGGGUGUGUGUGCAUCGCACCCAAGAUGAGGUGUGAGAUCACAUCUCACAAACCACUGACACUCAGCCACAGGCAGCGCUGACUUCGUGGGCGUGAGACCUGCGCAGUCACACAGGGCUCCAUGCUCCAGAAGAGCCUCAGUCAGAAAGGCCCAGGCUUGGCAUAGUGCUCUGCUGCUGCCGUCUUGAAAUUCUUCAUCAUUUUUGAACAAGCUGCCCUGCACAUUAUGUAGUCAGUCCAGGCUAGAGGUUACUGUUUUCUUUUUUCUUUCUUUCUUUUUUAACACGGAGUCUCACUCUGUCACCCAGGCUGGAGUGCAGUGGCGCGAUCUCAGCUCACUGUAACCUCUGCCGCCCGGGUUCAAGCAAUUCUCUUGCCUCAACCUCCCGAGUAGCUGGGAUUACAGGCACCUGCCACCGCGCCUGGCUAAUUUUUGUAUUUUUAGUAGAGACAGGGUUUCACCAUCUUAGCCAGGCUGGUCUUGAACUCCUGACUUCGUGAUCCACCUGCCUUGGCCUCCCAGAGUGCUAGGAUUACAGGCGUGAGCCACCGUGCCCGGCCAUUUUUUUUUUUUUUUUUGAGACGGAGUCUCGCUGUGUCUCCAGGCUGUAGUACACUGGCUCGAUCUUGGCUCACUGCAGUCUCCACCUCCCGGGUUCAAGUGAUUCUCCUGCCUCAGUCUCCCAAGUAGCUGGGACUACCGGUGCGUGUCACCACACCCAGCUAAUUUUUGUAUUUUUAGUAGAGAUGGGGUUUUGCCAUGUUGGCCAGGCUGGUCUCCAACUCCUCACCUCAGGUGAUCUGCCUGCCUUGGCCUUCCAAAGUGCCGGAAUUACAGGCAUGAGCCACCAAGCCUAGCCAUAGAGGCUACUAAGUUUUCAAGAAGGAGAAGACUUUUUUUUUUUUUCAGAGACAGGGUUUCGUUCUGUUGCUCAACCUGGAGUGCAGUGGCCCCAUCUUGGCUCACUGCAGCCUCAACUUCCUGGGCUCAAGCAUCCUCCCACCUCAGCCUCCCAAGUAGGUGAGACCACAGGUGCAUGCCACCACACCCAGCAAAUUUUUUCAUUUUUUGUAAAGACAAGGUCUUGCUAUGUUGCCCCUGGCUGGUCUUAAAAGCGUGGACUCAAGCAGCUUAUUGUCCUGUUUUGGCCUCCCAAAGUGCCAAGAUUACAGAUGUGAGCCACCAUGCCUGGCCAAGAAAACUUUUUAAAGUAGCCUUUCUACAAACACCAGAAAUGGAUCCAGGAAGAAGCGGUUGUGGGCAGUUUCAGGUGGGAACCUCAAGGAUGCUGACCAUGGGUUGAUUCUUAGUGAGUCCAUGCGGACCGGGACAAGUGGUGCAGUCACGAGGAAACCAGUCACCAGGACCUGGGAGAGAGGAGAAAGUGUCUGCCUCCCCGCUUCCUUUCCUCCAUCCCUGUUUUCCAAACUGCUCUCUAUCUCAAAAUGAUCUAUGCUAUCCCCAGAGGGUGGCUUAUUUACAAGGCAAGGGAUGAAAAACAGAAAGAGUGGACACCUUCAGGGAAGACAGGAAAUUUAAAACAAGCUUAACCAAAGUGGGGCACUGGAGAAAAACCCAAAUAGAUGAAAUUUCACCAGAAGAAAACCAGGUUCUAUGGUUGGGACUAAACAGAAACAAACAACAACACAGCAAUCAGCAGAAUGGGGGAAAUGGGGGUGUUGAGCUGGGCGUGACCUUCCUAUCAACCUACAGUGUGAAGUGUCUUGAUCUGAGGCUAAAGUCACAAAUUCAGGGAGGAGGAGUCACACAGUGGAGGAGCACUGUGGCUUUCACUCUGUAUUCUUCCCCUCGGGUUCUAGGGCUUAUGGGUUCAUUUUUUAAAAAUUUUAUCUAUUUAUUUUUUUCGAGAUGGAGUCUUGCUCUGUUGCCCAGGCUGGAGUGCAGUGGCUCGAUUUUGGUUCACUGCAACCUCUGCCUCCAGGGUUUAGGCAAUUCUCCUGCCUCAGCCUCUGGAGUAGCUGGGAUUACAGGCACCUUUCACCAUGCCUGGCUUAUUUGUUUUUGUAUUUUUAAUAGAGACGGGGUUUCACUAUGUUGGCCAGGCUGGUCUCGAACUCCUGACCUCGUGAUCCAUCUGCCUUGGCCUCCCAAAGUGCUGGGAUUACAGGCAUGAGCCACUGUACGUGGCUGGGUUUAUAUUUUUACAAAGCAAUUUCAGUAAAUGCUAUGUACACUUUUACUUAUACAGCCCAUCAGCCCCCAUCCCUCAGGUCCUGGCCAUUCCUCUACAUACAUUCAUUCGCUUUUAUUCCCUACCCUGUAUGUCUACUGUAACACCGGGAGUCCUGGCCCCCAUGCUUCUGGCUGCCCCUAAGAAUCCCUGUGUUGGUCUCUGUAGUGUUAGUUGUGUGGCCAUCUGCUAGAGGAACCUUCAGUCCUCAGUUCUGCCCGCAAAAUUCCCCUGCUUGGAAAUCAUCAGAAAUUCCCAUUGCUAAACUUGAUGUUUUGGCUUUCAAAGCAUCCAUAAUUUAAUUUCCAACUAUCAUGUUAAGGCUGUUCUCUUUCUUAUUCUCUCUUUCACUCUCUUUUUUAGGAUAUUCCAUGUUCUAGUCAAAAUGAACUGUUCACCCUUUCCCACUUUUCUAGCUUUGUGCAUUUGCUCACUUCUUCCCUCAUCUGGAAAGCCCCAAUCGUGCCCACCCUCCAAGCUCAGCGACCCAUCUCCCUUACUCCCAGCCCCAGCUGACAAUCUCUCUGCCUGACUCAGCUUUCUCUAACCAACACCGUGCAUAAUAUGUGGCGCCUACAGGCACUCAAUUAACAGCAUUAACAUUUCUUUGUUCUAUUUCUGUGCAUCUCUAAACCUCUAAACUUUGGUGUUCCAUAGGGUGCUAGCCCCAUCAUGCAUCUCUUCUUGGCUAUGCACAUCCCUGGGAGAUUUCAUCAACUCCCAGGACUCACAGACCAUUCAUGUGCCAAAAGCUGUCUGUGCACUGGUUGGUCCCCUUUCUUGAACCUCACAUAUACAUAAAAUGGCUUCCAUACAGCUUCCUCUGGAAGGCACCUCAGGUUAGAUAUUUCCAAACCUGAAGUUGUUUAUCUUCCAAGCCUGAUCCACCCAACCACCCAUCUCCCCAUCUGCCUUCCUCUCUGACUCACUCAGUCAUCCAGCAGUGUGUGUUCCUGACACUCUCCUCAUCAAAUACCACGUCCUGUCAGACCUACCUCUAAAUAUCUCUCACAUUUCUCCCAUCCUUUCCGUCCCCAAGUUUGGGCUUUCAUCUCUUUCCUGAAUAUUGCCAGAGUUUCCUACCUGGUCCUAACCAGGGCAGCUUCUGCAGUGGAUGUUUUAUCCAGUUGGCUCUAAGUGUUUCACAGAAACAGAUUAACUAAGAAGUUAUAAUGCCUCUUCCAAGACGUCUAAUUGUGUACAGUAUUUGUCAUUUUGUGAUCUUCACUUUAAGAGAGCCCCCAAACUGUAUAAGCUUCAGAGUCCUUAAAGUCUGGAUCUUCCUCUAGUGACCAAGGGUUAUCAACAUUUUCAGAGCCAAAAAAAAAAAAAAAUUGGUUGAAACAAAAAAACAUAUUGGCUACAAAAUGAAAAAUUGCAAAAUUGACACUGACAAUAAUAAAUAUGUAAUUGUCCAUCAAACAUAAUGUUAUUUGUACAUUUUUUACAUUAGUUAUAAUGUAAAACAUUAAUAGUAAAAUUUUUAAUUUAUAAAAACUGAAUUACAUUUGAAAAUGAUUUGUGGGCUAGAUUUUCUCACUUUGCACAAUUUCCUGAGGGUGUCUGGUGACUGUCAAGAAAUAGUAGCCAAUCAUAAAUUAAACGUUGCUCAUCGACAAAUAAUUUAAAAAGCAAAAAUAUAAAGGUUCCUUUCAAAAGUUUUUACAGGCCAGGCAUGGUGGUUCACGCCUGUAAUCCUAGCACUUUGAGAGGCCAAGACAGGAGGAUCCUUUGAGCUCAGGAGUUGGAGACCAGCCUGGGCAAACAAACACAAACAAACAACAACAACAAAAAACUAAAAAAAAAAGUUUUUACAGAAAAAAAGUAUUUAAUGUUGAACCUCUUCACUUAGUCAUUUUCCUGAUAUCUUAAUAUUGAUCAUUAAGGUUCUGGGUUGAUGUUGAUCACUUUAUAGAGCAAUUGUCGAUUCCCUGUCUCUUUCCCCUACCACAUACACAGCUGAGUCUUGUUAGUUUUGGCAGUUACGUUCUAUAAAGUUGCAGUUGCCAUGAGCACUGAAUUAGCAAGUACUGAGCCAUUCCUUCCAAUGGAAAUACAAGGUUUGGUUCCUGUGAGCCUCUGGUCACAACAUUUUCAUCAACAGAACAAUAUAUAACCUUGUUUUACAUGUGUUUUUCUUUGAAGACAUUGAAUUUAAUAUAUGCUUCUUACAAAUAGUUAAUUAUAUGCAGUAUAUCUUUAUAAUAAGAUAUUAGCUGAGAAGGGUUUACCAUUUUCCUGAAUUUGGAUAACAUGACCAUAAAUUUCUUUGGCUUUUAGCCUUACAACUAUGCUGCCCACUAUGUUUUUUUUUUUUUUUUUUAAUCAGUCAUGAUCUCAUGAAUUCGUAAGUUUAGGCUCUUUUCCAUAGCUUCAUCACACCCUUUAGAUAUUAUUUCAGUACUUUCUGGAGUGGACUCAUAUACAGACUAGCAAAUUUCCUCUUCUUUUUCUGAAUGCACCAAAUUAUUGAUUCAUUAACAUUGAGCUCACAACCAAUAGCAUUGUCACUCAUGUCUGAACAAAGCUAAUUGAACACACUUGUUUUCUCUGCAAGCCACAACCCAGCUUCUUGCACUUAAGAAAGCUAGCUAGCAUUUCAGCACUACAUUUGGAGUCCAUUUUAAAUAGCAAAAUCACCAAAGACAAGCACAAAAAUGUAAAAAACGUGGCACUAAAAAAAGACUGCAGAAAGGACACUUGAAGAGAGUUGAAACAAGAAGGCAGAGUGGGCUGGGCGCCUGUAAUCCCAGCACUUUAGGAGGCCGAGGCAGGCGGAUCACCUGAGGUCAGGAGUUCGAGACCAGCUUGAUCAAUAUGAUGAAACCCAGUCUCCACUAAAAAUACAAGAAAAUUAGCCGGGCGUGGUGGCAUGUGCCUGUAAUCCCAGCUACUCGGGAGGCUGAGACAGGAGAAUCGCUUGAACCCGGGAGGCGGAGGUUGCAGUGAGCUGAGAUCGCGCCAGGGCAACAAGAUCCAGCCUGGGCAACAAGAGCGAAACUCCGUCUCAAUAAAAUAAAAUAAAAUAAAUAAAAUAUAAAAUAAAAUAUAA